GAUGAACGCUAGCUACAGGCUUAACACAUGCAAGUCGAGGGGCAGCAUGAACAUAGCUUGCUAUGUUUGAUGGCGACCGGCGCACGGGUGCGUAACACGUAUCCAAUCUGCCCGUUACUCGGGGAUAGCCUUCUGAAAGGAAGAUUAAUACCCGAUGGCAUGUAUUUCCGGCAUCGGAGAUACAUUAAAGAUUUAUCGGUAACGGAUGAGGAUGCGUACGAUUAGCUUGUUGGCGGGGCAAACGGCCCACCAAGGCUACGAUCGUUAGGGGUUCUGAGAGGAAGGUCCCCCACACUGGUACUGAGACACGGACCAGACUCCUACGGGAGGCAGCAGUGAGGAAUAUUGGUCAAUGGGCGAGAGCCUGAACCAGCCAAGUCGCGUGAGGGACGACGGUCCUAUGGAUUGUAAAACCUCUUUUGUCGGGGAGCAACGAGACCACGCGUGGUCGAAGGGAGAGUACCCGAGAAAAAAGCAUCGGCUAACUCCGUGCCAGCAG
rnacentral:rRNA from 1 species